GUGUCAGCAGCCGCGGUAAUACAGAGGUCCCAAGCGUUGUUCGGAUUCACUGGGCGUAAAGGGUGCGUAGGUGGUCGGGUAAGUUUGAUGUGAAAUCUCCGGGCUCAACCCGGAAAUGGCAUUGAAUACUAUUCGGCUAGAGGUCUGGAGGGGGGACUGGAAUUCUCGGUGUAGCAGUGAAAUGCGUAGAUAUCGAGAGGAACACCAGUGGCGAAGGCGAGUCCCUGGACAGGUCCUGACACUAAGGCACGAAAGCUAGGGGAGCAAACAGGAUUAGAAACCCUCGUAGUCC
rnacentral:rRNA from 1 species